AUUGAACGCUGGCGGCAGGCCUAACACAUGCAAGUCGAACGGUAACAGGAAGAAGCUUGCUUCUUUGCUGACGAGUGGCGGACGGGUGAGUAAUGUCUGGGAAACGGCCUGAUGGAGGGGGAUAACUACUGGAAACGGUAGCUAAAACCGCAUAACGUCGCAAGACCAAAGAGGGGGACCUUCGGGCCUCUUGCCAUCGGAUGUGCCCAGAUGGGAUUAGCUAGUAGGUGGGGUAACGGCUCACCAAGGCGACGAUCCCUAGCUGGUCUGAGAGGAUGACCAGCCACACUGGAACUGAGACACGGUCCAGACUCCUACGGGAGGCAGCAGUGGGGAAUAUUGCACAAUGGGCGCAAGCCUGAUGCAGCCAUGCCGCGUGUAUGAAGAAGGCCUUCGGGUUGUAAAGUACUUUCAGCGGGGAGGAAGGGAGUAAAGUUAAUACCUUUGCUCAUUGACGUUACCCGCAGAAGAAGCACCGGCUAACUCCGUG
rnacentral:rRNA from 1 species